GACGAACGCUGGCGGCGUGCUUAACACAUGCAAGUCGAACGGUGAAGCCUUCGGGUGGAUCAGUGGCGAACGGGUGAGUAACACGUGAGCAAUCUGCCCUUGACUCUGGGAUAACUUCGGGAAACCGGAGCUAAUACCGGAUAUGACAUCUGGCCGCAUGGUCUGGGUGUGGAAAGAUUUAUCGGUCAAGGAUGAGCUCGCGGCCUAUCAGCUUGUUGGUGGGGAAUGGCCACCAAGGCGACGACGGGUAGCCGGCCUGAGAGGGCGACCGGCCACACUGGGACUGAGACACGGCCCAGACUCCUACGGGAGGCAGCAGUGGGAAGGGUAUUGCGCAAU
rnacentral:rRNA from 1 species